UGGGGAAUAUUGCACAAUGGGCGCAAGCCUGAUGCAGCCAUGCCGCGUGUAUGAAGAAGGCCUUCGGGUUGUAAAGUACUUUCAGCGGGGAGGAAGGGAGUAAAGUUAAUACCUUUGCUCAUUGACGUUACCCGCAGAAGAAGCACCGGCUAACUCCGUGCCAGCAGCCGCGGUAAUACGGAGGGUGCAAGCGUUAAUCGGAAUUACUGGGCGUAAAGCGCACGCAGGCGGUUUGUUAAGUCAGAUGUGAAAUCCCCGGGCUCAACCUGGGAACUGCAGCUGAUACUGGCAAGCUUGAGUCUCGUAGAGGGGGGUAGAAUUCCAGGUGGAGCGGUGAAAUGCGGAGAGAUCUGGAGGAAUACCGGUGGCGAAGGCGGCCCCCUGGACGAAGACUGACGCUCAGGUGCGAAAGCGUGGGGAGCAAACAGG
rnacentral:rRNA from 1 species